GCCCGCAUAGCUCAGGGGUAGAGCGUAUCACUAGUAGCUAUCCCAGUCCAAUAGGUUUAUGAUAAGGUCAUCAGUUCAAUUCUGAUUGUGGGCA